rnacentral:tRNA from 1 species
AAAAUCCGUCAACUUUAGAAAUCGUGAGGGUUCAAGUCCUCUAU